UCCUGUAUGGACCACUCUAACUACCACUCGA
rnacentral:piRNA from 1 species